rnacentral:rRNA from 1 species
UACGGAGGGGGCUAGCGUUGUUCGGAAUUACUGGGCGUAAAGCGUGCGUAGGUGGUUGUUUAAGUCUGCCGUGAAAUCCCCGGGCUCAACCUGGGAAUGGCGGUGGAUACUGGAUAGCUAGAGUGUGUCAGAGGAUGGUGGAAUUCCCGGUGUAGCGGUGAAAUGCGUAGAGAUCGGGAGGAACAUCAGUGGCGAAGGCGGCCAUCUGGGACAACACUGACGCUGAAGCACGAAAGCGUGGGGAGCAAACAGG